ACCAAGUGUUGUUACUUUGUAGCCGAUCCAUCAUCCAAGAUGGCCGCCAGCGGGGGACUUAGUUUAACAUAGGACCCUAUGGGAAAUGCAUACAAAUGACUUCUUUUAAAGAACCACUGAAUGGAAUAAAACCAAACAUGGCAUGAAUGUUCCUUAUGAGGUGUUGACCAUGUGUUGUUACUUUGUAGCCGAUCCAUCAUCCAAGAUGGCCGCCAUCGGGGAACUUAGUUUAACAUAGGACCCUAUGGGAAAUACAUACAAAUGUCUUCUUUUAGAGAACCACUGAAUGGAAUGAAACCAAACAUGGCAUGAAUGUUCCUUAUGAGGUGCUGACCAAGUGUUGUUACUUUGUAGCCGAUCCAUCAUCCAAGAUGGGCGCCAGCGGGGGACUUAGUUUAACAUAGGACCCUAUGGGAAAUACAUAAAAAUGUCUUCUUUUAGAGAACCACUGAAUGGAAUGGAACCAAACAUGGCAUGAAUGUUCCGUAUGAGAUGCUGACCAAGUGUUGUUACUUUGCAGUCGGUCCAUCAUCCAAGAUGGCCGCCAGCGGGGGACUUAGUUGAACAUAGGACCCUAUGGGAAAUACAUACAAAUGUCUUCUUUUAGAGAACCACUGAAUGGAAUAAAACCAAACAUGGCAUGAAUGUUCCUUAUGAGGUGCUGACCAAGUGUUGUUACUUUGUAGCCGAUCCAUCAUCCAAGAUGGCCGCCAGCGGGGGACUUAGUUGAACAUAGGACCCUAUGGGAAAUACAUACAAAUGUCUUCUUUUAGUGAACCACUGAAUGGAAUGAAACCAAACAUGGCAUGAAUCUUCCUUAUGAGAUGCUGACCAAGUGUUGUUACUUUGUAGCCGAUCCAUCAUCCAAGAUGGCCCCCAGCGGGUGACUUAGUUUUACAUAGGACCCUUUGGGAAAUACAUAAAAAUGUCUUCUUUUAGAGAACCACUGAAUGGAAUUGAACCAAACAUGGCAUGAAUGUUCCUUAUGAGUUGCUGACCAAAUGUUGUUACUUUGCAGUCGAUCCAUCAUCCAAGAUGGCCUCUAGGGGGGGGGGCUUAGUUUAACAUAGGACCCUAUGGGAAAUACAUACAAAUGUCUUCUUUUAGAGUACCACUGAAUGGAAUGAAACCAAACAUGGCAUGAAUGUUCCUUAUGAAGUGCUGACCAAGUGUUGCUACUUUGUUGCCGAUUUACUGUUCAAGAUGGCCACCAGGAUAUUUUAUUAAAUAACGGGACCAAUAUUAAUCAAAAUUUGGCCUCAAUCAUUAUUUGGGUAUCUGUUAUGAUUUUUAUCUAUCUUUACAUGAUUUCUAAAACCAAAGUAGAGUCAGGUGAGCGACACAGGCUCUUGAGAGCCUCUAGUUAUAUAUAUAUAAAAUUAAGAAGAGAUGUAGACCAUUUAUGUAGAGUACAGAAAUAAAUGAUAUAUAUUUGUACCUGAAACAGAUAUAGAAAUGCAAU